GGCGACAAUAUUAGUUUACUGAUCUAAACUUAAAAGUUAAAUUCGCAGUUAUAUUUAUAAAAUACGAAAGAAGAAAUAUAUGUUAUCGAAUAAUCAAAAGUCUAAGAACAACAAAAUCUUAACCAAUAUUUAUCAUUCUUCAUUUGGUUCCUGAAUUGGUUUAAUUUAAUCGUAUGAUGAAAAUGGCGAUUUAAACUAAAUCUGGCCUUUUUACAUAAAUUAUUUUAUCAUUACCUGUUGAAGCCAAAAUAAAAAAAAUACAUAAAAUUCCUAGGGAAUAAGGUUGACUGAUGGGAGAAGCCAUUUUGAAUAAGGUUUCACUGCUAAUUGUGUUUUGUAUUAUCUCUUUGUUCUUCUAUAUAAGAAUAAUAGCUAACAUGCAUGGGUUAUGUUGCAUUUAUAACAGCUACAAAGUAAAUUCCGGAACAUUUAUUGUUCAAUAAAUGGCUACAUAUUUAAUAUUCAUUGACUUGAAAUAUUAAUCAUAAUGUUAAAGAGACAACAAAAUUUAGAGUUUAUCUUAUUUAACAUUGAUUAAUUGUUAUAAUAAUUCAAUAAAUAUUAAAUAAGACAAGUUAUAGUUAUUUUUGAUUGAUUUUUUUUAUUACUAAAUAUUUUCAAAAAAGAGUAGUAUCGUUUUUGUCCCUAAUAUUUAGGGUAAGUCUCAAAGUUGUCUUUAAUGUUUAAAUCGUCCUAUUUAAGUUUCUUACGUUUCAAAAUUGGCUCAAUAUUUUCUUACCGUUAGAGAUCUGUUAAUAGAAUUGACGGCGGGAUAAAAUUGUGACGAUUUUGAAACUUUAAGGACUUAAAUAGGGCAAAAACGUUGGGAAUAAAACCAAUACUUAAAAAUAAAUUUUAAUUUUAUCCUUCAAUAAUAUCAAUAUUUUACCGUACAUAGUUUUUCAAUUAUUUUUUAAUCACAUUUAAGUAAAUUACAAUUAAUCACAUUACUUUUAUUCUAAAUAAAUUUUUAUUUUUAUAAUUUUACUCUUAAAAAUUUUUACUCAUCAUAAAAUAUUUGUGAAAUAAUUAGUACAUAAACUUGCAAAAAAGAAAAAAAUGAUACAUAUACAAUAAAGUAUAAAUUAUACAUUUUGACUCUAAUUCUUUAAUGUUUAAUUUAGUUAAACUUUAUUUUUUAUUUUAUUCUUCGAUAAUAUCAAUUUUUUACGGUAGAUAAUUAUUCAAUUAUUUUUUAAAUUUUAUUCUUGAUCACAUUAUUUUUCUGAGUCAAUUUAACUUUUAUUAAGAGCAAAAUUAAAAAAUAAAUUAAGUAAUUAUUUGUCGUAAAAAAAUGAAAUUAUUGAAGAAAAGAUUAAAAAGCUUUUAAAUUUUAUUUUUGUUCUUCAAUAAUUUAAAAUUUUUUUCGACAAAUAAUUANNNNNNNNNNNNNNNNNNNNNNNNNNNNNNNNNNNNNNNNNNNNNNNNNNNNNNNNNNNNNNNNNNNNNNNNUUUAUUUUUUAAUUUUGUUAUUAAUAAAAAAUAAAUUCACUUAAAAAAAUAUUGUGAUUAAGAAUAAAAUUAAAAAAAUAAUUGAGUAAUUAUUUACCGUAAAAGUUUGAUAUUAUUGAAGAAUCAAAUUAAAAAUAAAGUUUAACUAAAUCAAACAUUAAAGAAUUUCGAUACAUUAGAGACAAAAUAUUAUUGCGUAAGUUUAUGUACUAGUUAUUCUAUAAACAUUUUUUAAUGAGUAAAAAUCUUUAAGAGUAAAAUUAUAAAAAAUAAAUUUAUUUAGAAUAGAUGUGAUUAAAAAAUGAUUGAAUAAUUAUGUACCGUGAAAAAAUUGAUAUUAUUGAAGGAGAAAAUUAAAAUUUAUUUUUAUGUAUCAUUUUUGUCCCCAACAUUUUUUUUCUAUUUAAGUUUCUAAUAUUUUAAAUCGUCUCAAUUUUGUCCCAAUCGUUAAUUUUGUUAACAGAUUCCUAAUGACAAAAGAAUAUUGAGUCAAUUUUAAAAUAUUAAAAAUUUAAAUAGAACAAUUUAAAUAUUAGAGACAAUUUUAAAUCUUAUCUCGAGCAUUAAAGACAAAAACGAUGCUUGAGUGAUGGGAGAAGUCAUUUUGAAUAAGGUUUCACUGCUAAUUGUGUUUUGUAUUAUCUCUUUG
rnacentral:lncRNA from 1 species